rnacentral:sRNA from 1 species
AGGGCUGGCUAGGGAGCUACCGCCGCCGCCACCGAGGGCUCGGACUCCAGGCAGCUGCAGGCUCCGCUCGCGGCGCUCGGAAAGUUGGGUCGGACCUGAACCCCUAAAAGCGGAACCGCCUCCCGCCCUCGCCAUCCCGGAGCUGAGUCGCCGGCGGCGGUGGCGGCUGCCAGACCCGGAGUUUCCUCUUUCACUGGAUGGAGCUGAACUUUGGGCGGCCAGAGCAGCACAGCUGUCCGGGGAUCGCUGCAUGCUGAGCUCCCUCGGCAAGACCCAGCGGCGGCUCGGGAUUUUUUUGGGGGGGCGGGGACCAGCCCCGCGCCGGCACCAUGUUCCUGGCGACCCUGUACUUCGC